AUUGAACGCUGGCGGCAUGCUUUACACAUGCAAGUCGAACGGUAACAGGCCGCAAGGUGCUGACGAGUGGCGAACGGGUGAGUAAUGCAUCGGAACGUGCCCAGUCGUGGGGGAUAACUACUCGAAAGAGUAGCUAAUACCGCAUACGAUCUAUGGAUGAAAGCGGGGGACCGUAAGGCCUCGCGCGAUUGGAGCGGCCGAUGUCAGAUUAGGUAGUUGGUGGGGUAAAGGCUCACCAAGCCAACGAUCUGUAGCUGGUCUGAGAGGACGACCAGCCACACUGGGACUGAGACACGGCCCAGACUCCUACGGGAGGCAGCAGUGGCGAAUUUUGGACAAUGGGCGCAAGCCUGAUCCAGCAAUGCCGCGUGCAGGAAGAAGGCCUUCGGGUUGUAAACUGCUUUUGUACGGAACGAAACGGCUCUGGUUAAUACCCGGGGCUAAUGACGGUACCGUAAGAAUAAGCACCGGCUAACUACGUG
rnacentral:rRNA from 1 species